GCUGGUCACAUGGUGGCACCUGCUUAUAGUCCUAGCUGCUAGGGAGGCUGAUGGGAGAAGAUCGCUUGAGCCCAGGAGUUCUAGGCUGCAGUGGGCUAUGCUGAUCGGGUGUCCACACUACGUUCAGCAUUGGUGACUUCCUGGGAGUAGGCAACCACCAGGUUGUCUAAGGAGGAGUGAACCAGUCCAUUCAGAAUGGAGCAGGUCAAAACUCUGAUGCUGAUCAGUAGUGGGAUCACACCUAUCAAUAGCCACUGUACUCCAGCCUGGGCAACAGUGAGACUCAUCUCUA
ensembl:misc_RNA Metazoa_SRP Metazoan signal recognition particle RNA